UACAGAGGGGGCAAGCGUUGUUCGGAAUUACUGGGCGUAAAGGGCGCGUAGGCGGCCUGUUAAGUCGAACGUGAAAUCCCUGGGCUCAACCCAGGAACUGCGUCCGAUACUGGCAGGCUUGAAUUCGGGAGAGGGAUGCGGAAUUCCAGGUGUAGCGGUGAAAUGCGUAGAUAUCUGGAGGAAUACCGGUGGCGAAGGCGGCAUCCUGGACCGACAUUGACGCUGAGGAGCGAAAGCUAGGGGAGCAAACGGG
rnacentral:rRNA from 1 species